rnacentral:lncRNA from 1 species
UUUUUUUAAAAAUUACUUUUCUAUCAACGAGGUCUAAAAUUGGAAGAUUAAGAUUAAAAUGAAACUAUAAUUUUGUGUUUAUUAUUUUAUCCAACUUGUAAUCUAACUGUUUAAAUUAAAGAUGUUAAAAAUUAAUAGCUAGAAUUUAAUUUUACCAAUUUUUUUAAUAAAAAGCAUUUAUUUUUUAUAUUUUAAUUUUAAAAAUAGAGGAAUAUAACUAUAUAAAAUUUAAAAUAAAAGUUAUUAACGAAAACUAGUUUUAUUUUUAAAGAUUGUUAAUUAAAAAAUAAAAAAAUAAACGAGUUGAAAGUAUUAUUUAGAUAACUAUGGCUAAGAUUAUGAUCAGUACUUAAAAAUGGAAAAGCAAGAAUCUUGAAAAUCAAUUUCAGUUGAAUUGGAUUCCAACAAAUUCUGCAGCAUUCUCAAAAUAAAUACAUGCCAAAUGAUGCAAAAACAGAGUUCUUCCGUGCAAUGGACUGAUAAUAGAAAAAAAAGACUGAAAAUCAGGCAUUUUAACAAGCACAUCUGAACAUGAACACAUUCAGCACAUUCCUCUCAAUCAUCUCAAAGAUGCAAAUAUCUCCAGCUUCCAGACAAUUUUCCCUUGCAAAUGCUGUCCAACCACGAGCUAACGAAGCUAUUCGCCUAUUUGAAUACACAUUCAACUUUACAGGCCAAGAUUUUUCAGCAACAUGAAGCAUCAGAAUCUGUGAUUCACACUUCAUAUAUCUCCUGAUCAAACUGAAGGGAACGUUCUGCAAAAAUUGAAAAUUCAAUACACAUUGCUGGAGUUUAUGAUGUUCUUCACUGGAUAAACCAUCAAGAUCAAAUCAAACAAUGGUGUUCUUCUAAUGGUUUGAUAUUUAUAAAUGCCAUACCACAUCAAGAGUUCGCCUUAAAAGAACCUUGAAGAAUGGAUAGUUAGAGAUGAAGUUGUUGGCAGCUUGAAGAGCUCCACAAGUUUUUGCCGAUUUAGGCCUUUCAAUCUGCCAAUUCCUACCCUUCGCAGCCAUGACUUGUUUCUGCUUUUCUAUAUUAAAGAAAAGAAAAAUUUACUAUUCAGUUUCUGUAAUGUAUAAAAACUUAUUAUUUUGACUAUCAAAUUUUGAAAAAUAUAUUACAAGGCUUUUUUAAGUUUUAAAAAAUUUACUAAAUGGUUCAUUUUUUUUUAAUUAGAAAUUUGCAGGAAAUCUCAAGCUUAUACCUUUGGAUUGGUUGCCACUCCUGGUUGUAUGAAGAUAAAUGAUAUCUUGAUCACCAUCUUCUUGUUUCUUGGGCAAUGGUGAGUUUCCAUCAAAGUUUAGCUUCCCUGAAUACUCAAUCUCUACAGCGCUCUCAUCAAAUAUAAACACAUGCAAAUGGCUAUCUCCCUUGUAUUCAAAAACUAAGAAAUGCCCAUAUUUCAGAGAAUGAUUCUCGGAAAAUUCCGGCCAACCCUUUUCUAGCCAAACAUCAUUCCCAUUUUUCAGUAAAUCUACUUUCCAUGAGUUGCCUGUGGGAUCUGUAAGGGUUACUGGACUAGAUAAACAAUUUCCAUAAUCUUUCACAAACUUUGUGGGAAUCCCCUGUUAAAAGAAUCAGAAAAUGGGUAUUUUUGUCUAGAUUAAGACCAAAAGAUUAUGGUAAUACUGCUAAAGAUUAUAACAGAAACCCAAGAAAAAAUAAAGAAGAUUAUGAUCAAAAGUAAUAAGGAAGAUGGAAAGAAGCUUACAAGUUUUCCCUCGCGGAUAGUAUUUUCAAGGAUUAUCUUGAAAAAUCUUGUUGGUUUUCUUCUAACAGUGAAGAUCUCAUCCUGGGAUUUGCCUGCAAGUGAAGUCAUUGUGGAACAGAGCAAUCUCGAGAUUCUGUGUUUAUGCAGCAGAGCUUCUCUGAAAUCUUCUUGAUAAAGGAGUAACUGUUAAUUACUCAGUAAACGCAGCUUUAGGACUAAGGGGAGAAGACAGAUACUAGCAAUACUCACUUUUUCCAAGUAACUGUUGACAUUCUUCGUGCUAGUAUUGGUUGAAUUGUAUAUCUAUUUAAAGAUUGAGAAAUAUAAUAAAUACAUUUUAACUAAUAGAUGAAGAAUAUCAGACAGUCACCUAUUGCUAAUAUUUUUCAUGAUAGAAUUAAUCCUUUUAUCUAAAUGUCAGAGGUAACAUAAUAUGCGAGACGAUAUAUUUUAGAGAUAAUUAUUAUCGAAUUUCUAAAUUUUAAAAUAAAAUGACUAUAUAGUAUAAAUAUUUAAAAUUAUAAGUCUAAAUAAUAUAAUGUUAUAAUUAAAACUGUAAGACUAAAAAUUAUAAAUAGUUUAAUGUAAUUAUCGGUUUUUUAAAAUAGGAAUAAAUUAAUUUAUAAAAAUUUUAGAAACUUGAUAGUAAUUUACCUUAUAUUUUAUGUAUUAAUUAUUUAAUAAAACUCAUAUCAAAGAAAAACACUAAACUAAUUAGAUUCCAUUGUUUGGGAAAAUAAAUUGGAUUUAGAAAAUUUUUUUAUUGAAAAUAUUUUUUAAUAAAAUUUUAAAAAUAUUCAAAAAUAUUUUUUUUAAUUAAAAAAAUAUUUUCUCCAGACAAAUAAAGCAAUUGAACUUUUGUCGAAUUACCUUUAAGUAUUAAUAUAAAUUUGUGCAGAUUUAUCGAUAUUUUAUUAGGUAUAAUAAAUAAUUACAACUUAUUUUAAAAUAACUUUAAAAAAAAAUGUUAAAUGUGCAUUUGUCAUCCAAAUAGAACACCCCUUUCCAAUGAGAAAACUUUUCUGCGGCCCAAUUGCCCAAAUCCACCAGUGUCUCCAUUUAGACUUUGCUAAAUAGCAAAAGGCAACCAAAUAACAAAGAAAAUCAAAAGCAACCAACAAAAUCAAACCCAAAACUACACCCCAACAUACCAUCAUAUAAUUUGCUGGUAAACAUCACACCAAAAGGGUAUCUCUCAUCCGUGAAUCCAAUCCAUAAAUAUUAUGAGACACGCUUCAAGAGGCAAAUUCUAGGUUCAAAUCAUAUAAACAUAACAUUAGUUACCCACAUAAUAUGGGCUUGUCCAUUAUAUGGAAGAUAUCCUACAUUCAAUUUGAUCGGCUUCUAAUAACAUCAAGACCCAUUUCUGUAGGAUCAGUAGCUUGCAACUCUACCUGAAUACCAUCCAACUCCCUCUUGAACCUGUCCUUGGAGCUUGCAUAAAUCAUCUUGCUUCUCACUUUUGAUGCAUCAGGGGACCUUCACAAGCAAGGACCAUAAAUAAAACAGAAAAUCAUAAAAGCAAAACUGUAUAAUAACCAUAUGGAGGAAAAAGAAAAAGAGCACGUUUGCAUGUAUGCAUGUCCAUUUACCAUGCAAUAAAGACAAUCCUACUCUUCUGGCAGUUCUCCUCUGUCACAUAAUCGAAAUCAUAGACAGCAUAUCGGCACUCGUCGGCAGGAAGGCUUGCUGUGAAUUCCUCAUAGCUAUUGGUUGGCUCACCAAGCUUCUCCACAAUCACCUGUUUCUGCUUCUCCUCAAUCUUGAAAACAAUGAAGCGAUAAGUCCUCUUUGCCUUCAAUUCUAAAAACUUCAGCUUGCAGUCAUCAUGCACAGCCAUCCCAGAUGCUGCGUUGGCCUGAAAACAGAAACAAAUACUAAUAUACUGGGAACAACAGAAACAUUAAUGCCAUAAAUGGUUGGAAAUCCACAUUCUUUACACCAGAUACAAACAAACAUUAGUCAGGAAAUAGUAUAAGAACUUGAACAGUGACAAAGUCCAAAGUUGCAUAGAUUAGGCUUCAUUAUUUGCUUAGUUUUGUUUUACAACGUGGAUACAGAUCUUUGAUUUGAUUUGUGUCCUUUUCGUGCACCCAACUCAGCAACAUCCACUUAAUCCACACUUCAACUUGCGUUCGCAUUCUGAUACAAGAAUUAGGAGUUCACAUACUUCUUUUACUUAUGAGAUUCAGCUUGUAAUCUUGGUUGUCUACAGAAGUCAUUUUUCCCCCGAUACAAUUCUCAGAUAAAUCACACUUUUCUUCAAGCAAAAAUUUAUUGGUGUGAUCCUAGUCCACCAGCAGCAUAAAAUUUUAAUAUCUCUGUCCAAUAAACAGCAUCCACAAAUAUAACGAAAGCAUAGAACUUUUAACACUAGAAUACACUUCAUUUCAGUUUCAGCCUUUCAGGCUACCCCUAAAAAAGCUAGCAUAUAUUUUACAGUUCACAAUAGUAAGAUCCUUGACUCAAAAUCAUUUCAUUUCCAAAUUAUCAUGAAUUUUCAUUUUCUCCCGUGACCGAAAGAAAAAAUAAAAAAAAAUCAAAUUGUUUGAUCUUUGUAAAUUUACCCAAUUUAGUAAAAGAAAAACUUCAGAAAGGGAAAGCUUUACCUUUCCUAAAACUUUCACUGCCAAUCCUAACGUCUAACAGUAUCACCAUCACUAUCAUCCACUAAACCAUUAAAAAUUAAAUUUAGUGAAUAAUUAUAUGAAUGGAGCAAUCAAACCACGUGGAAGAGUCAACUAAAAUAAAAUAAAAUGAAAAUUUUAACAAGGCAAACCAACAAAAUCUUCGGAAAUUGGGGAAACCAAUUAAAUACUUUACUUUUUAUUUUUUGAGAAAAAAAGGGGGUUAAAGCAUAAAACAAAACCUAAAACUAAACAUUGCCUGAAAGAUAAACGUAUCAAUAGAAAAACAGCAAAAUCCAACACUAAACGGCAACCAAAGCACUACACUGCCUACAAAUGAAUAAUCGAAAAUCGACAUGGUUAUUUUCAUCAUCAGAAGCAAACGAUCCAAAUUACAAAGAUCAUCAAAUCAAGUAAUCAUCAUGUUCAUCAAAAACCAUUGGAAAAAACAAACGGAGCAAGGAUUUUAAAAUUGAAAUUAAGUAGCGCGUACAUAGAGUAAUAGGAGUCGCUUACCAUUUUCGCGAGAAAAUUAUAGGGCCGAAAAAGAGCGAGAAAAUCUAGGGCUCGAAAGAGAGAGAGAGAGAGAGAAAAAAAAGGAGGUGGCGAUGAUAAAACUUCAACUUGAAAAUGGGAAAGCCUCUCCUUUCUCUCACGUUUCGUAUGUGUGGAAUCUCUGCCAAGCUCGCAUCACGAUCACGGUCAAUGAUGGAAAAGUAUGCCACGUCUUGGGCGGUGAGGUUGGCGUGCGUGUCUCGUAAUGAGCCUGCUUCGUAGCUAGGCCAUUGUGGCGGUCCGACGUCGUUUAGGUUCAACAGUUAGUAAUUUUUUAAGAGUACAAUCGGUCGUUCUAAAUUCAACUCAUUCAAAAUAUAAUUUUUUAAUACAGUCAAUCGUUUUAAAUUCAGCUGAUUCAAAAUGAGAAAAAAUUGAGUAUUUUAUCUCAGCAUUAUAAGAAAGGUAUAAGAAAAUUUAUUAGUUAAUUUUUAAAUUUUAAAAAAUAUAUUAAAAUAUUUAUAAAAUUUAAAAAAUUAUUUAUUAAUAAAUCUUUUCAUUAUUUUAGAGUUAAAUAUUAAAAAAAAAUAUUUUCAAUAUAAAAAAAUUAAUUAAUAGGUAUUUUUAUAAAAUUAAUAAAUCAAUUAAUAAAUUUUUUUAUAUUAAAUAGUAAUAUAUUUAAAAAAAAAAAAUUAACCAAAAGAUCAAUUAUUAAAUUAUUAAAAUUUUAAUAUUUUAAUAUAUUUUUCUUUUAGACAUUUCUCCUUUGACUUCCAAGAUUUACGAGGAUUUGGUUUUUCUAUCCUUUCUCUUCAAGGAUUAUUGGUAGAACCUCCUUAUAACCUUACUAGAUAAUAGAAGCAAUAAAGAAUACGUUCAACUCAUUGUUAUAUUAAUGUGGAAUAUUUGGAAGAGUCGAAACUGUUUUCUUUUUAGGAAGAAUUUGUAGAGUGAGGAUUUUAUCAUUGUUUCAGCCACUUUCAUGCAAAAUGAUUUUAAGAAGAACAACGAAAGUACUGAAUCUUGCUUUUGGCAAGUACCACCAAUCAAUUUUUUUAAAACUAACUUUGACGUAGUUUUGGAUUCAAUGAAUUGUAAGAGAGCCUUUGCAGUACUCAUUAGGACGUGGAAUUAUCCUUCAUAUCUCUAGUCCCUUGCAUCUUGAAAUUUAGGGUGCAGGGAAUCUCUCCUCUUUGUUAAGAACAGGGGCUUAAGGUGCAUUCAGGUUGAAAGUGAUUGCAAGAAUCUUGUCUCAAGUCUUUUAGAGAAUCUUGUUUCUAUCAACAUCAAUGCGAUGAUUAAAAAUAUUCAGGAGUUGAGCAAAACUAUAGAUUCUAUUGAUUUUCUAUUUGUAAAAUGUUCAUGUAAUAGUGUUGCUCAUAACCUGGCAUAGAAAACUCUUCACUCUGCUUUUUUUUUUUUUUGUCGGGAAUCCUAUAAAUCAGUUGUACUUUAUUAAGGGUUUAAUCGCUUCUUAAUACAAUCAUAUUUUAUCUUCAGCAUAAAAAUAUAUAUAUUUUUUGAAAUUUCAUAUAAUACAUAAAAUAAAAAUAUAAGACUAAUUAACGCAAAAAAAUUCAAUGUUUACGUGUAUUUGUAUUUUAAUUUAUAUAUUUUAAUUUUGGUUUAAUUAGCUCAACAUUUAUAUUUUGUUGCAACUUUAGUCAAUUUGUAAAUUUUAAAAUUUAAUAGUCUAUGUGGCAAUCUAAUAGUCUAACUGAUAUGUCACGUAAAUUAUUUUUAUUAUUUUUUAAUUAGUCAUUAAUUAAAAAAAUCUAACAUUCAUAUCAUUUUGUAUUUUAAUUUAAAUAUUUAAAUUUUGAAUAAAUUAGUCUAACGUUUAUAUUUGAAUGUAAUUUUGGCUAAUUUUUAAAAUCAAAAUUAAUAUAUAAUUCACAUCUCAACAGUGAUAAUUUUAUUUUACAUUAAUAAUUAUGAAUAUUUUAUAACAGACAUAUUUUUAAUUUAAAAUAACAACAUAUAUAAAAUAAUUAAAAAUAAUAUAUUUAUUAUUAAAUUUUUAUAAUUAUAAAUACAAAAUAAAAUCUAUCCAUUGUUGAAUCUGUCUAUAUUUAACACUUAAAUUGCUAUUACUUUUAGAAUUAAAUAUAUCAUUUACUAUAGUUAAGUAUGAGUUAAUAUUAUUUUCAUAUAUGAAAUUAAUUUAUAUUUAAAAAAUAAUAAAAUAUUACAUUUGACAUUCUAUCGGAACUCUUACAUUUUAAUUUUUUGAAAUUGAUUAAAAUUAUAUUCAAAUGCAAACGUUGGCCCAAUUUAUCUAAAAUUUAAAUAUUUAGAUUAAACGUAAAAUAAUAUAAACGCUGAUUCAAAAUUUAAACAUUUGGAUUAAACGUAAAAUAAUAUAAACGCUAGGUCUUUUUAGUCAUUUGAUCAUUAGUUUAUAUAAAUAAUAAUAAUAAUAAUAAUACACGUAAUGUGUCAGCUAGAUUAUCAAAUUGUCACAUAAAUUAUUAAAUUUAGAAAUUUAUAAAUUAACUAAAAUUGCACCAAAAUGCAAAAGUUGGCACCAAUUAAAUUAAAAUUAAAACGUUUGGAUUAAAAUGCAAAUAUGUGCAAACGUUGGGCCUUUUUAAAAUAAUUCACCAAAAUAUAAUUAUUUAUAACUCUCCAUACCAUGAAGUCCUCGCUUUUUCCUUCCUACACAUGUUCUUAUUGUUUAUCCAAUUCAAUUAGCGAUAUUAAACUUACAAUUCGAAUUAUAAUAAAAUACAUCCAAAAUUCAAGCCACAUAUUUAAUAAACUCCAUUCAAAAUACAACCAUUUUAGCUAACACUACAAAAGGGGAGGGGAGGGUUGGGUUUGCCGGCGAUUUCAUUUAGGCGAUCUUAUCAAUCACCUCAAUGAUCAUAUCCUUUAUAAAAAGUGGCAAUGAAUAAAUGCGUUUUUUAGUUUCGCCUCUUUGUAGGAGCGGGUGAUAGAGUCCAAAUGAAAUAUGUUGCAAUUAACUUUAUAUUCGCUAAAUGAUUCGUACUAAAGGCAGUUUAUAAAUUUUGCCAUAAUAUUUGAAAAUUUGGAGCAAAAUUUGUGUUUUCUCAAUCGCGCUCAAAAGAAAAUAAGAUAGGAAGAAAAAUCAACUGUCGAUCUCUCUCUCACUCUCUCUGUUUUUGGGUUCUCCUAAUUUUACUAGGUUUUCUCUAUCAAAUUGCACUCUAUAAAUUGUUUUCUCUUAAUUCUGCUUUUCUACACUCAAUUUUGCUGGGAGAAUGACUUGAAAUCAAAGUGAAAUGCUCAUUUCAAUCUUCUUAAAGGUAAGUAAGUAUCAUAAGUUCUGAUACAAACAUGCAAUUAAAUGACCCUUUUUUUCUUGUUAUUCCCAUUGGUACUCUGUUGAUGCAAAAGAUUUUGAAACCCAUCUAUCGUGACCUAAAAUUUGAAUGGGUGAAAAAAAAAUUAUAUAUGGGUUCAUUCCAUUAUAUUGAUUGGUGUCUAUAUUUUUUCUCUUAUUAUUAUAUGACGUUGAAUAAUUAAUAUUUACUCUACUAAUAUGUAAAUCAAGUCUAUUUUACUAUAUGACACAAAAUAGUGGCGUGGUUCAUACUUCAAAAAUUGGACGGAUGAACUACUAUGGUAAGCUUGCAAUGUCUUAGAAUUAAAUUAUUAUGAUAAUUUUAAGGUCAUACUAUUUAGAUGUGAUUGGUUUGACGUUUAUUAUAGUGCAUGCAUUAAACAAGAUGAAUUUGGGUUUACCUUGAUAAAUUUUUCUCGCUUAAUCCAUAUUGGUGAGAAACUGAAUGACGAUCCUUAUGUAUUCUCCUCUCAAGUUGUGCAAGAUGAGACCAUAAAGACAAUAUUCAAAAGGAACAUGGAGAAGAUUGUUCAGGUUAUAAAAUUCUCAUAAUAUGGUUUAAAGUUAAUAAUUAUUUUCUCAUGAUUUCUAUUACUAAUUUGCGUUUAUUAAAUUUUGAUUGUACAGAUAAGAUUUUUAUGUCCACCUGAAACUAAGAGCUGGAUUUUAAAAUCUUUAAUAAGAAAUGAAGAUAUUUUAAAUGUGACUUGAAGGCACAAUAUUAUGAUCCACACAAGCCUAAAGAACAUAUUAUAGAAAAUGUACCUGAAAAUGUUGUGGAAGAACAAUGGCCUACUCUUGUUAAUGGAUGGUUUAUUGUGGAGAGUCAAGUAACUUAUUCAUGUCAAUAUUUUUUGGUAUUGCAUGAUGUAAUGUAUAUAUAUAGCAAUUGAGUGUUAGAACAAAGAAAUAAAAGAAUGCUCACACAUAAGAAAAGAAAGAGAAAGAAAAUGAUAAGUAUUUAUCGAUAUGCUUAUUAAUUAUCAAUAUCAUGCUUAUUAACAUAGUUUAAUUUUCAUAUUUUGUUAAAUGGUAAUAACUUUUACUUACAGGAAAAAUAACUUGGAAAAGUUUCAGAUAGACUUACAUUUUUUUAGGCAACUCACAAGAAAAAAGAUGGAACAUGUGUGGAUGAGAAUAUAAAGUAGCUGAUGGUAUUAUUCAGUUUAUCUACUUAACUACUUCUCUUUUUUUUUCUUUAAAAAAAAAAAAGACAUUUUCUCUUUUUUAAUUGUUAUAUAUUUAACCGUAUAGGAGAAGGCACAUGCACUUAUAGCUGAACAAAUCGAAAAUUCUCGCAUCGACUUAAAUGAAUUAAAUGGAAGCAUUUUUCAAGCAUAAUGGUUAUGUGCGAGCUUUAGGUUUAGAACCAACACCUAGAAACUAUUUUAGUGUGACUUUUUACAAUGUAAAAUCUAGGUGGGAGGAUUCCACUAACUCAAGUAAAUGUGAAUUAUUAGAUGAAAUUGUUCAUACUUUGCAUGAAUUUCUAUCUCAAAUGUUUUAUGGGUAAACUGUAAGUAGGUACAUGCGUUUUGUAUUUAAUUAGUUGAGUUUUGUGUUAUAUUUUCAAUUAAUUUAAAUAAUUAUAUUAAAAUUAUAGUAUUAAUUUACUUAUAAUGAAAUAGACUUUGAUAAAAUACAUUAAAAUUCAUACUAUCUAAAUUUAAAAGUAUAUAGAAAAUUAUCAAUUAAUAAAUCACCUUGUGUUUCAAUUAUUUAUAUUCCUUAUGCUUUACAUAGAAAAUAUCAAUGCAUGACCUCCAUUAUAUAUUUGUUUUUCUCUUUUCAUACACUUUGAAAAAAGAGAUACUAAUCCAUUUUGCCUUAUAAAGAUACAAAUUAAUUAAUUUUUUUGUUAAAUAUUGUUUAUUGGUAUUAUGUAUAAUAUAUAUUAAAAAUGAAGUUAUCAUAUUUUAAAAUUUUUUAAAAAUUCUUAACCUUUUAUUUUUGUGUUAUUAAUAGGUAAAUGAUGACAGUAGCUAGAGGAUUAUUUGAAAUGUAUAUAUUAUUGUAAUUACAAUUAUUUUGGCGCCAAAAAUAUUCAUGGAUGAUUAUAACUGCCUCAAUUAUAAAUUCAAAUUAAUAAUAAAAAUGAUGGUUUAAUAUUAUAGAGGCAGUUUGAGUUGCUAUAAAUAACAGCAGAAAUGUGAUUUAAGUUGCCAUAAAUAAUAGAGGGAAUCUGGAUAAAGGCAGUUUAAACCGUCUCUAAAAUUAUGAAUGCAAAUAAAUAAUAUAAGUAAUGAUUUAAUAUACUAGAGGCGGUUUGAGUUGUCAUAAAUAGCAGUGGGAAUCUGCAUAAAAGCGGUUUAAACUGUCUCUAAAAUUAUUAAAUGCCUUGAGGUGGUUAUUAUUUUGGUACUAAAAAUAUAAACUAACUAUUCUAACGGCCUCAACCAUUAAUUGAAACAAAUAAUAAAUAAGAAAUUUCAAUAUGUCAGAGGCGGUUAGAAUUACCGCAAAUUAUGGUAGGAAUUUAUAUAAGGCAGUGUAAACUGUCUUUAAAAUUAAUUGAUUUAUAUUUUUUCUAUAAAUAAAAUACAUUUAGAGUCAUUUUUAAACACCUCUAAAAUUUUAUGUAUGACAGUCAAGUCUAUUACUAAUAACCGUUCCUAAUAAAAAUAUACAUACGACGAUUGACAAAAACGCUGCAACAUUAUAAAGCUCACAUCUAUAACGAUGCUCAUAUGGCGAUUCGUUGAUCCGCUAUGACAACCACCCCUAAAAGAUGGAAAAAUCGCCGGUGUAAUGAGGAAAUAAUUUAAUGGAGGAUGAUGAAAUCUCAAAUUUGAGUAGCUAGUCAGAGAGUAAUUUAACUAAAAAUAAUAAAUAUCUCACAUUUGAGUAAUUUCUAGAAUUUUAGUUAUGUUGUCCAUAAUUAUUAUUUUAAAUCCAUUUUACUUUCUUGAAUUAAAAAAAUCUUAAUAUAUUUAAUGCAGAAUUGGAAAGUAUUUAAUUUAUUUCCAAAUUAUUUAGAAAUUUUAAAUUUUUUCCUCCCCUUAUAUAAUUAGGUCAUCUAACCUAUACUACAAGAUCAUCAUUUAACAAAACCUCUCAACCUCAUCAUCUUUCUCUGAGAAAAAUGACCAAAUUUGCUAUCUUCUUGCUGUUUCUUCUCCACUGUUUCCUCUUCAUUUCAGGAAUGGCUAAACAAGACUCCAUCUCUCAAAGCGCAAGGAUACAAAAUGCAAAGCAGGUGGUGAAAGCUUCAUUUUCAGCAGCUAUACGCACAGCCCAGGCCGCAAACUCCUUCGCCUCGAAAACAAGUCCGGCUGACCUAGGCGUCAAAGACUGUAUUGAACAAGUCAGUUCUGCGGUGGAUGAAUUCAACGACUCAAUCAAAGAGCUAGGUUUCUUGGGCGGCAGUGAUCAGCAAUGCAACGAUGAUUGCCAUUUAUCUAAUAUUCAAACGUAUGUAAGCACUGCUCUCACUGAUAGCUCGGAUUGUACAGAUGGAUUGGAUGAUGAGCUGAAGAAGCACAAAAGCAGUACAUUGGUGACGAUUAGGGCAAAGUAUGGUGGUUUGGAAAAUGCAGUAAAGAAUUCUUUAAGUCUGUUCUGCCAACAGUUUGGCAAAUGUAAAUGAAGCCUUAAUUAGUUUACAACAUGAAUUAGUAAGAGAGUUCUCUAAAUAAGAUAUAAGGAGGGUGGACCCAUGUAUAAGUGAGUGCAUGUAUAAUAAUCCCUUCCAAAAUAAAAAUUAUUCAGUGCAAAUUAUGAUUUUUUUUUCUUCUAAGGAGGCACAACCGGGAAUACAAUUGUUAGAUCAUACUAAACGAAUAUUCUCCUUAUCCAAUACUUUAAAAAUAGGUUUAAGAUAUCCGUAGUAAAUUAUUAUCUUUUUACCGUAAUCAUAAAUCAAUAAUAACAGUGUAAUCAUAAAUCAAUAAUAACAGUUUGAAAUCUGUCUCUAAGAGUAAGCAUUCGGUCGGUUCGAAUCAAAACUUUCUUUUUUUACCAUUCAAAAAUUCAUAGUUAUAUGAUUGUUACUUCAAAAUUAAUGUACUGAAUUUUCCUUCUUGUUGAAAAUCAUUCUUGUUAGACGUUUCAAUUAGAAACAAACAGGGGUUCUUGGAUGGAUCCAUUUCAAAACCUUCAACUGGAGAUCUAUUGUUUUUACUGUGGAUAAGAUGCAACAAUCUAUUAGUUGCAUGGUUGUUAAGAUCAGUUUCACCUCCAAUUGCAUUGACAAUCUUUUAUCUUGAAAAUGUUAAGCAAAUUUGGGACAAACUACACCAAAAGUUUUUAGAACCAAAUGAUUCAAGAGUCAAUCAUCUUCAACAACUAUUGUGCACUACUAUUCAAAAUAAAUCUCAAAUGCAUCGAUUGUUGCUCCUAUUUAUGAGAAUGUAAAUCUGUUUAAUCUUUCGAAAGAUCAAAUACAAAGACUGUUGGCUCUUCUAGGUGAUCAAAAAACUAGUAAUGUCUCCCCACAAGUUAAUAAGAUAUGUACAUACAAUUCCAAUUUCCUUUCUUCUUACUCAAAAUCAGUUCUUGAACCCUUGUCUAUAUAGAUCUUAGACACUGGUGCAACCGAUCAUAUCAUUUGCAAUCGUUCUUUAUUUAAUAAAUCUUCAUCUAUCUCAAAUCCUUUUGUAUAUCUGCCUAAUGGAAAAUUUCAAGUUAAAACUAUUGGUUCUAUGCAACUUAAUUCUAAGAUUUUGUUAUAGAAUGUUAUUUUUAUUCCAAGUUUCAGGUUCAAUUUGUUAUCAAUAAGUAAGCUUGUCACUGAACAACAUGUAUCUAUUCGUUAGUGUUCAUUUAGGCUAUCUUAUCAAUCGCCUCAAUGAUCAUAUCCCUUAUAAAAAAUGGCAACUGAGAAAGGCAUUUUUUAAUUUUGCCUCUUUGUAGGAGCGGGUGAUAGAGUCCAAAUGAAAUAUGCUGCAAUAACUUCAGAUUCGCUAAAUGAUCCGUACUUCACAAAGGCGAUAUAUAAAUUUUGCCGUAAUAUUUGAAAAUUUGUGUUUCCUCAAUUGCGCCCAAAAGGAAAUAAGAUAGGAAGAAAAAUAAACUAUCGAUCUCUCUCUCACUCUCUAUUUUUGGGUUCUCCUGAUUUUAUUAGAUUUUCUCUAUCAAGUUGCUCUUUGUAAAUUGCUUUCUCUUAAUUCUACUUUUCUACACUCAAUUCUGCUGGGAGAAUGACUUGAAAUCAAAGUGAGAUACUCAUUUCAAUCUUCUCAAAGAUAAGUAACUAUCACAAGUUUCGAUACAAACAUGCAAUUAAAUGACCCUUUUUUAUUCUUUUUAUUCCCAUUGGUACUCUGUUGAUGCAAAAGACUUUGAAACCCAUCUAUCGUGACCUAGAAUUUGAAUGGAUGAAAAAAUCAUAUAUGGGUUUAGUUUCAUUAUAUUCAUUGGUGUCUAUAUUUUUUCUCUUAUUAUUAUAUGAUGUUAAAUAAUUGAUUUUUACUUUAUUAAUAUGUACAUCAAGUCUAUUUUACUAUAUGACACAAAAUAGUGGCUUGGCUAACACUUCAGAAAUUGGAGGGAUGAACUAUUAUGGCAAGCUUAUAGAUGUGCUAGAAUUAAAUUAUCAUGAUAGUUUUAAGGUCAUACUGUUUAGAUGUGAUUGGUUUGACAUUUAUCAUAGUGCAUGCAUUAAACAAAAUAAAUUUGGGUUUACCUUGGUAAACUUUUCUCGCUUAAUCCAUACUGGUGAGAAACUUAACGACCAUCCUUAUGUAUUCUCCUCUCAAGUUGAACCAGAGUAUUAGGUGCAAAGUGGGACCUUUGAAUAUUGCAGGAUGGGCUAUAAAGAUUUUUCAAUAUUCAAAAGGAAAAUGGAGAAGAUUGUUCAGGUUAUAAAAUUCUCAUAAUAUAGUUUAAAGUUAAUAAUUAUUUUUUCAUGAUCUUUAUUACUAAUUUGCGUUUAUUAAAUUUUGAUUGUACAGAUAAGAUUUUUAUGUUCACCUAAAACUAAGAGUUGAAUUUUAAAAUCUUUGAAUAAAAAAUGGAGAUAUUUUAAAUGUGACUUGAAGGCACAAUAUUAUGAUCCAUGCAAGCCUAAAGAACAGAUUAUAGAAAAUGUAUUUGAAAAUGUUGUGGAAGAACAAUGGCCUGGCCUACUCUUGUUAAUGAAUGGUUCAUUGUAGAGAGUCAGGUAACUUAUUAAUAUCAAUAUCUUUUAAUGCAAAGAAAUAAAAGAAUACUCACACAUCAGGAAGGAAAGUUAUGCGAAAAAGAGAAAGAAAAUAGUAAGUAUUUGCUAAAUGGUAAUAACUUUUACUUACAGGAAAAAGAACUUGGAAAAGAUCCAGAUAAACUUGCAUGUUUUGAGGCAAUUCACAAGAAAAAAGAUGGAACAUAUGUGGACGAAAUGACAUUUUCUCCUUUUUAAUUGUUAUAUAUUUAAUCUUAUAGGAGAAGGCACAUGCACUUAUAGCCGAACAAAGCGAAAAUUCUAGCAUUGACUUAAAUGAAUUAAAUAAGAGCAUUUUUCAAGCAUAAUGGUCAUGUGUGAACUUUAAGUUUAGGACCAACACCUAGAAACUAUUUUGUUGUGACCUCUUACAAUGUAGGAUCUAGGUAGGAGGAUUCCACUAACUCAAAAUCAAUCAGAAGAGAUAACAAUGCUUAAACAAAAGUUGCAGUUCAUGACAAAUAAAUGUGAAUUAUUAGAUGAAAUUGUCCAUACCUUACGUAGAUUUCUAUCUCAAAUAUUUUAUGAGCAAACUGUGAGUUUUCAGAUACAUACUUUUUAUAUUUAAUUAGUUGAGUUUUGUGUUAUAUUUUUAAUUAAUUUAAAUAAUUAUAUUAAAAUUAUAGUUGAUAUAUAAAUUAAUAUAUUGAAUAUUAAUUCACAUAUAAUGAAAUAGACUCUAAUAAAAUACAUUAAAAUUCAUACUAUCUAAAUUUAAAAGUAUAUAGAAAAUUAUCAAUUAAUGAAUCACCUUGUGUUUCAAUUAUUUAUAUUCCUGCUUUACAUAGAAAAUAUCAAUGCAUGACUUCCAUUAUAUAUUUCUUUUGGGAAAAUUACUUUUUAGUCCCNNNNNNNNNNNNNNNNNNNNNNNNNNNNNNNNNNNNNNNNNNNNNNNNNNNNNNNNNNNNNNNNNNNNNNNNNNNNNNNNNNNNNNNNNNNNNNNNNNNNNNNNNNNNNNNNNNNNNNNNNNNNNNNNNNNNNNNNNNNNNNNNNNNNNNNNNNNNNNNNNNNNNNNNNNNNNNNNNNNNNNNNNNNNNNNNNNNNNNNNNNNNNNNNNNNNNNNNNNNNNNNNNNNNNNNNNNNNNNNNNNNNNNNNNNNNNNNNNNNNNNNNNNNNNNNNNNNNNNNNNNNNNNNNNNNNNNNNNNNNNNNNNNNNNNNNNNNNNNNNNNNNNNNNNNNNNNNNNNNNNNNNNNNNNNNNNNNNNNNNNNNNNNNNNNNNNNNNNNNNNNNNNNNNNNNNNNNNNNNNNNNNNNNNNNNNNNNNNNNNNNNNNNNNNNNNNNNNNNNNNNNNNNNNNNNNNNNNNNNNNNNNNNNNNNNNNNNNNNNNNNNNNNNNNNNNNNNNNNNNNNNNNNNNNNNNNNNNNNNNNNNNNNNNNNNNNNNNNNNNNNNNNNNNNNNNNNNNNNNNNNNNNNNNNNNNNNNNNNNNNNNNNNNNNNNNNNNNNNNNNNNNNNNNNNNNNNNNNNNNNNNNNNNNNNNNNNNNNNNNNNNNNNNNNNNNNNNNNNNNNNNNNNNNNNNNNNNNNNNNNNNNNNNNNNNNNNNNNNNNNNNNNNNNNNNNNNNNNNNNNNNNNNNNNNNNNNNNNNNNNNNNNNNNNNNNNNNNNNNNNNNNNNNNNNNNNNNNNNNNNNNNNNNNNNNNNNNNNNNNNNNNNNNNNNNNNNNNNNNNNNNNNNNNNNNNNNNNNNNNNNNNNNNNNNNNNNNNNNNNNNNNNNNNNNNNNNNNNNNNNNNNNNNNNNNNNNNNNNNNNNNNNNNNNNNNNNNNNNNNNNNNNNNNNNNNNNNNNNNNNNNNNNNNNNNNNNNNNNNNNNNNNNNNNNNNNNNNNNNNNNNNNNNNNNNNNNNNNNNNNNNNNNNNNNNNNNNNNNNNNNNNNNNNNNNNNNNNNNNNNNNNNNNNNNNNNNNNNNNNNNNNNNNNNNNNNNNNNNNNNNNNNNNNNNNNNNNNNNNNNNNNNNNNNNNNNNNNNNNNNNNNNNNNNNNNNNNNNNNNNNNNNNNNNNNNNNNNNNNNNNNNNNNNNNNNNNNNNNNNNNNNNNNNNNNNNNNNNNNNNAAGAAGAAGAAAAAGUUGCUGGGUAGGAAGAAGAAGAAGAAGAAGAAGAAGAAGAAGAAGAAAGAAGAAGAAGAAGAAGAAAAAGUUGCUGGGUAGGAAGAAAAAGAAGAAGAAGAGGGUUAAUUUUGUCGAUUCACGUGUCCCAAACGGCUAUUUUGGACGGAAUGACUACGAAUUUGGACGGAAGAGAAAGUGAGGGACUUAAGUGUUGGGUCGCCAAAAUAGAGGGACAGAAGUGUUAAUUACGUUAAACCUCAGGGACUACAAAGUAAUUUUCCCAUUUCUUUUUUCUCUUUUCAUACACUUUGAAAAAAGAGAUACUAAUCUAUUUUGCCUUAUAAAGUUACAUGUUAAUUAAUUGUUUUAUUAAAUAUUGUUUAUUGGUAUUAAUAUUCUAAGAUCCAGAGAAUAUGGUUUACAGUAUGAGUAUAAGUUUAGAUGGAGAGGAAGACGUUCCUCCCAUUUUAUCAUUUUUUCUUUUGUUUGCUAAUGACGUCUAACGGCCUCUCUGCUACAGUGUCAUCUGUCUCUGUCACUUAGAUCUGUACGUACGGACGCGUUAAAGCCUUUCUCCACACCAGACGGCCAUUUAAUUUCUCUCGGCGCACAUGUGGACAAAGCUGCGAAGUGAUUGGGCCUGCCUUGCCUACCUCCUGUCACAUCACCGGGCUGAGUUCCUAAAGGAUGGGCCUACGCGCAUGUCUGGUCUGGCCUGUUUCAUUUCUCCGAGUCGGGGUGCUCCGCUGGUUUGUUUAUGAGAAAAGCCCGAUGGGCUUUGGACCAGCAUCCUUCUCUUGGGCCCAACCUUGCCUAGGGUAGAAAAAGCCCGACAGUCAUUAGCUAUUAUGUGUAAUAUAUAUUAAAAAUGAAGUUAUCAUAUUUUAAAAAAUUUUAAAAAUCCUUAAUCUUUUACUUUUGUGCUAUUAAUAGGUAAAUGAUGGCAUUAGCUGGAGGGUGGUUUGAAAUGUAUAUAUUAUUGUAAUUACAGUUAUUUUAGCGCCAAAAAUAUUUAUGGGUGAUUUUAACUGCUUCAACUAUGUAUGCAAAUGAAUAAUAAAAAUGAUGAUUUAAUAUACUAGAGGUGGUUUGAGUUGCCAUAAAUAAUAACGGAAUCUGCAUUAAACCGCCCCUAAAAUUAUUAAAUGUGUUGGGGUGGUUAUUAUUUUGAUACCAAUAAUAUAUAUCAACUAUUGUAACCACCUCAACUAUUAAUUGAAACUAGCAAUAAAUAAGAAAUUUUAAUAUGCUAGAGGCAGUUAGAGUUACCGUAAAUUAUGGUGGGAAUUUGUAUAAGGGCGGUCUAAACUGUCUUUAAAAUUGAUUGAUUUAUCACUUAUUCUAUAAAUAAAAUACGUUUAGAGACAUUUUUAAACACCUCUAAAAUCUUAUGUACAGCGGUUAAGUCUGUCACUAACAAUCGCUCUUAAUAAAAAUAUAUAUCUGGCGGUUGAUAAAAACACUGCAAUGUUGUAAAGCCAGCAUCUAUAACGAUGCUCAUAUGGCGAUUCGUUUACCUGCUAUAACAACUGCCCCUGAAAGAUGGAAAAAUCAUCGGAAAAGCAUCAAUUUCUUGUAGUGUAAUGAGGAAAUAAUUUAAUGGAGGAUGAUGAACAUCUCAAAUUUGAGUACCUAGUAAGAGAGUAAUUUAAUUAAAAAUAAUAAAUAUCUCACAUUUAAGUAAUUUCUAAAAUUUUAGUUAUGUUAUCCAUAAUUAUUAUUUUAAAUCCAUUUUACUUUCUUGAUUUAAAAAAAAAAUACCAAAAAAGGAGAUAAAGUCAUAUUAUUAUGGUAACUAAGAUGUUUUCAAUGAAAGAAUUUCCAAAAUCUCAAGAUAUUUAUUGCAGAUUUGGUAAGUAUUUAAUUUAUUUCCAAAUUACUGAGAAAUUUUGAUUUUUCUUGGAUUCACCUACCAAUUAUAUAAUCAGGCAUUAACGAAUAUCCAAAAUCUUAAUAUAUUUAAUGCAGAAUUGGAAAGUAUUUAAUUUAUUUCCAAAUUAUUUAGAAAUUUUAAAUUUUUUCCUCCCCUUAUAUAAUUAGGUCACCUAACCUAUACUACAAGAUCAUCAUUUAACAAAACCUCUCAACCUCAUCAUCUUUCUCAGAGAAAAAUGGCCAAACUUGCCAUCUUCUUGCUGUUUCUUCUCCACUGUUUCCUCUUCAUUUCAGGAAUCGCUAAACAAGACUCCAUCGCUCAAAGCGCAACGAUACAAAAUGCAAAGCAGGUGGUGGAAGCUUCAUUUUCAGAAACUAUAAGCACAGCCCAGGCCGCAAACUCCUUCGCCUCGAAAACAAGUCCGGCUGACCCAGGCGUCAAAGACUGUAUUGAACAAGUCAGUUCUGCGGUGGAUGAAUUCAACGACUCAAUCAAAGAGCUAGGUUUCUUGGGUGGCAGUGAUCAGCAAUGUAACGAUGAUUGCCAUUUAUCUAAUAUUCAAACGUAUGUAAGCGCUGCUCUCACUUAUAGCUCGGAUUGUACGGAUGGAUUGGAUGAUGAGCUGAAGAAGCAAAAAAGCAGUACAUUGGUGACGAUUAGGGCAAAGUAUGGUGAUUUGGAAGAUGCAGUAAAGAAUUCUUUAAGUCUCUUCUGCCAACAGUUUGGCAAAUGUAAAUGAAGCCUUAAUUAGUUUACAACAUGAAUUAAUAGAGAGAGUUUUCUAUAUAAGAUAUAAGGAGGGUAGAUCCAUGUAUAAUUGAGUGCAUGUAUAAUAAUCCCUUCCAAAAUAAAAAUUACUCGCUGCAAAUUAUGAUUUUUUUUCUUCUAAGGAGGCACAAUGGGAAUAUAAUUGUUGGAUUAUACUAAAAGAAUAUUCUCCUAAUACAAUACUUUAAAAAUAGGUCUAAGAUGUCAGUAGUAAAUUGUUGUCUUAUAUAUUUUUACUGUAAUCAUAAAUCAAUAGUAACAGUUUGAAAUCCGUUGUAUCUACCUCUAAGAAUAAGUAUUCGAUCGGUUCAAUUCAAAACUUCUUUUUUUUAUCAUUCAAAAAAUCAUGGUUAUGUAAUUGUUAUUCCAAAAUUAAUGUACUGAAUUUUCCUUCUUGGCGAAAAUCGUUCUCGUCAGAUGUUUCAAUUAUAAACAAAUAAGGGUUCUUGGAUGGAUCCAUUUCAAAACCUUCAACCGGAGAUCCAUUAUUUUUACUAUGGAUAAGGUGCAACAAUCUGCUAGUUGUAUGGUUGUUAAGAUCAGUUUCACCUCCAAUUGCAUUGACAAUCUUUUAUCUUGAAAAUGUUAAGUAAAUUUGGGACAAACUACACCAAAGGUUUUCAGAAGCAGAUGAUUCAAGAGUCAAUCAUCAUCAACAAUUGUUGUGCACUAUUAUUCAAGGUACCAAAUCUGUUGACAUAUAUUUUACUGAACUAAAUAGAAUAUAAAAAGAGUUGAGAAUCUUUAGACCUUUAUCUUCUUGCAGUUGUGGAAAGUGUAAUUCUGAUUGUUUUCACAAGUUUAUUGAAAUCCAGCAAAAGGAUUACGUACUCAAGUUUUUAAAUGGAUUGAAUGACAACUAUCAAGGCUUGUCUUCACAAGUGAUCAAUAUGAAACCCUUUUUUACUCUGGAUUAGGCCUAUAAUAUAGUUUUAAGAGAAGAAACACAAAUAUCAUUAAUAUUGCAAACUCAAUAUUUUCCGGAAAUGGUUGCAAUGGCAGUUAAAAAGGCUAAAGCAAACCUCGUAUGUUUCCAUUCUGACAAAACUGGACAUGUAAAUGCUCAAUGCUAUAAGAUUGUUGAUUUUCCUGCUGAUAUCAAGUUCACAAGAUACAAGGGUAAUUGUAAUGGUGGUGGAGGAAAUUCUGGUAAAUUCUACAAGUCUGCAUAUGUUCAACAAAUCUCAAUGCACCGACUGUUGCUCCUAUAAAUAUGUUUAAUCUUUUUAAAGAUCAAAUACAAAAACCGUUGGCUCUUCUAGAUGAUAAAAAAAUUAGUAAAGUCACUCAACAAGUCAAUAUGAUAGUUACAUACAAUUCCAAUUUCCUUUCUUCUUACUCAAAAUCAGUUCUUGAACCCUUGUCUAGAUAGAUCUUAGACACUGGUACAACCGAUCAUAUCAUUUGCAAUCUUUCUUUAUUUGCUAAAUCUUCAUCUAUCUCAAAUCUUUUUAUGUCUCUACCUAAUAGACAAUUUCAAGUUAAAGCCAUUGGUUCUGUACAACUUAAUUCCAAGAUUUUGUCACAGAAUGUUAUUUUUAUUCUAAGUUUCAGGUUCAAUAUGUUAUCAAUAAGUAAGCUUGUCACUGAACAAGAUGUUUCUAUUCUCUUUAUGCCUAAUCAGUCUUUCGUCCAGGACCACUUAACAUGGAUGAUUAUUGGGAAGGCUGAGGAAAGAAAUGGUUUCUUUUAUAUUGAGCAACAUAAUCACAUAAUUACAAUAUUUGCUAUGUUGUUGCAUCUUCAAACUCUUUUAACCUGUGGCAUAAUUGUUUAGGACAUCCUACAGAUAAAAGACUUAUGUAAUCCUUGUCUUACAUGCCCUAGAGCUAAACAAAAGAGGUUAGUUUUUCCUCAUAGUAGUACUAAUACCCUAGAGCUAAACAAAAGAGGUUAGUUUUUCCUCAUAGUAGUACUAUUUGCUCAAGACCUUUUAAACUAGUCCACAUGGAUGUAUAGGACCUUACUCAUAAAAGGACAUUAAUAACAAUCAUUAUUUUUGACAAUAGUGGAUGAUCUUUCUAGAUGUAUACGGACUUAUUUCAUGAAAUCUAAAUUUAAAGUGUCUUUAAUUAUUCCUCAAUUUCACAAACUCAUGCACAUAUAAUUCAAAAUUGAUAUCAAGCAAAUUAGAACAGAUAAUGAACUAAGUUCAAAUUAUAAAAUUGUUAUUUUAAUACUAUAAAAUUAUACUUUUAGCUGCACUGUUUAUACUAUAUGUUAUAACAUCAAAAUCAAAUACAACAAUUUUCAAACGGCUACCAUUAAUUUAUGUCUACAAUUUAAAUAUAUGGUAUCAAUUUGUAGCCGCUACUUUAGAUUCAUUUUCAUAAUAGUGAGUAUUUCUAAUAUUGGGCAAUGGAGUACUUCAUCUACUAACCCUGUAUCCAAAUUUUAUCAUGACAAUUGCAAAAUUAACAAAAUUUGCAGGAGUUGGCACACUCUGCAUAUAUCAAAAGAGCUACAAAACUUGUCUAAUAGAUCUGUUCUAUUUUUUCAAACAGAAUUGUCCAAAAUGGAUUAGAGAUAUGGCUAUUCUUGUGUUAAGGCCAAGCUAAAUUUAAUUGAAGAUUGACUUAAUUGAAUAUGCAUUACAAGUAUCAAAACAAUUUUCCUGAGAAAAUUCCUGCAUUACUGAUAUGGGAAACAAACACAGUCCUCUGCUUUGCAGGUCUAAUAGUCUGCCAUCAGUUUCCUGUCACAAAUCAGUUAAUCACAAUUUCAAAUUUACUCAAAUCGAUUGGGUGAUUAAUGAACAUUAAAGUUAGCAAAAUUAUGCAUUAGUUUCACAUGUAAAAUAUAGAAUUUUUAGUUCAUGCUUACCUGAAAGUGACAUGAACUACUCAGCAUCUGAAGCAAAUUCUGUCAAGGUAAUGAAAAAUAUUUUUAUAGAUAAAAUUUUUAAAAUAUAAAUUAUUUUACACAAAUAAACGGACACUAAACUCCACUGUGAUUAGAAGAGAGUUGUACCUUAAUCUGUUCUUGAAGGAGUUUGAUAUAAAGAGAAGCCUCUUGAAGAACAGAAGCAGUAUCUGUCUGCAAUUUUUUUUUAAAAAAAACCCUAAUUUAUUAGCUUUAAUAUAGGAGAAAAUAAUUAGCUCCACACAAGGAAUAGAAAAUCAAGAAAUAUAACCUUGCCAUAUGGAGAGACUAAUUUUUGAAGAGCUGUGAUUUUGUCAGCUAGCUUUUGGCUUCUCCUCACAGGCACCUGCAACUGCAACAACAGAAAAAAAAAGCCCUUCAAUCUUGAAAUCUGGUGGACAUUUUUGGUCAACAAGAACUUCUUAAUCUUCUUGUUGAUAUGUUAUCAUUUAUUGUUACCUUGUGAUCUUUAAUAUUGGUUGAUUGCUUAACUUGAUGAUCAAGCCAUUGUUCCUCAGAGGAAGAUGCCUUCCUUCUCUUGUCUUUCUUCCAUUCACUAAAAGCUGCUCUGUUUUCAAUUAAAUCUGUUAAAUCUGAGGUAACAACCUCAGUUGAUCUUUUCCUUCUUGUUGUGGAUUGAAAAUCCUGAAGGAACAAAAUAAAAUAAUAAUAAUAAUAAUUGAGUUUCUAUUAAAUAAUAAAAAUUUAAAAGAGGAAUAUUUGGGCCUCUAUUAAAUAAUAAAAGAAAAGGGUAUAGUUCAUACCAACUCUUGGGAAACGUUAGCCUUCUUGCUUAAUAUAAGAGAUUGUUGUGUAUUCUCCUCCCAGCUAGAGGAUGUAAACUGACAAUCUGACAAUAAAAUACAAAAAUUGGAAAUUUUAGUAGAAAAUCUCAAUUGGUUCAGCUCUCAUAUCUUUUUUUAUUUUUAAAGUAUAAAAAAUAGAUAAAAUUCCAAAUUAAGUUUUUUUAUUUAUUAAUUUUAAAUAUGCAUCUACAAAUUUUAAAUUUUCAUAUGGCAUCAAAAAUAAUAUCUCAAAAUCUCACAAGAUUGUAAAAUUUUUAAACGAUAGGCUUCUAAUAAAUUAAGCGACUUUGUCAAGGGACAUAUUAAAACCGUCGCUAAAUAGUCUAUUAAUAGUUAUAAAUUAGCAACAGAAUAUUUAUUUGUCACUAAUGCAUAUUAAUAGUGAUGAAUCUACAAAAUCCGUCUUAAACUUUUUUUUUUAUAGACAAAAUAUAAGUAUUCGAGAAUAAUUUAUCCUAUCUAUACCGAGUUAAUGUGAGAAUUCUCAAAUUACUAUAUGUUGGAAAUCUAUGCUCAACUUGUUUUGGAGUUAUAUUUGUAGCAAAUAGAAAUUCAUUAAACCUGAUUGGAAUUGUUGGUGAGGAAUAGCAAUGCUUUCACCUCUUAGUUGGUUGUCAUCAACUCUGGAAUCCAACCAAAAGCUAUUCAAAGACAACAUCAACUUUUCAAAAAUGGUAUACUAUAACAAAAAAAUAAACUCUUGGAAAGAGAUUGUAAUUAAUAAUAACAAUAAUAAUAAACACACGGAUAUGCAUGUAUCGGCGAUGGAAUUAAAUUAUAAAUUAAAAUAUGAGCGAUUUUCUUUUAUAUAUAUAAACACAAAGAUCGUAUAAGAAAAAAUAAUAAUAAUUAGCCGAAAUGCACACCUCUCCGUUGAAACAUCUAAAUUUGUAAUCUGAAUUUCAGUGUUCCCUACAAUAAAGGGUAAAAAAAAAUACAAAAUCAUAUAUCAAAUAAAACAAUUUCUCUAAUAUAUAUAUUUAGCAAUUUAAUUUUCAAGGAUAUAGCUUAGGACUAUUUAUAUUCAAGCCACAAAAUUUCAUAAACAUCAAAGAUCAGUAAUACUAAAACAAUUUUCAAGCCAUUAAUAAAUCUCAAGUUCGAGUAAUAGUGAGAGCCAAAUAUACCGAAAUUAUAAAGCUGUAAAGGUACAGAUGGAAGAAUAGCAUUCCUCAUUUGAACCAAAUAAGAUUAAAUUCUUGGUGUAUAUUCAAAUUUCUGGCGAGAACAGAGAAGAGUAAUUAGAACCUAAUUAGUUGAAAAUAACAAGAAACUUUGAAAAAAAAAGGUCAUGGAUAAACUAAAAGAAGUUAGAGAAUACCUUAAGCUUUUGCUGGGCAGACAAUGAAGAACUUUAACAAAAGAUAUCCUUUGAGAAGAGAGUUUACAAGGUUUCUUCUGAGUGUAAGAACUGUUCUGAUCUGUGUGUUUUCCUUUGAAAAAGAGAGUAGUUUUGAGGAUAAAGCUAACCCAUUUAAUUAUAUUAUAUAUAUUAAUUGCAUGAAAGGUCAAGGAAAAUGAAAGGUCCAAAAAAUGACUUAUUACAAGACAGAAAAUGGCUUUUUUAUGAUGUUUAUAUACGUAAGAUGCAUGGUCGGCUUUCUCUAACUGGCAAAUUAUCUGUUUCAUUUCGCUUUCAUUCUUUAUUUUAUUUAGUUGAAUAUUUAGGUUAUUUUCAUUAAUCAUUAUGUUUAAUUUCACCAAGUAAUCAUAAUGUCAACAAUGACUCUUGUGCUUAUAAGAUGAAGUUUAAUUUAGUUCUUUUUUUUUUUUUUCUAAAUUAGUCUAGAAAUUUCAAUUUAAGUUAGAUUUAGUCAAAUUAAUAUUUUUAUUUUUAUAUUAAAUCAAAAUAUCAACCACUCUAAAAAAAUUAGACUUUAAACCAAAAAAAAACAUGUGAAAGGUAUGUAAAAGGUUUGCCGCUAAAUGAUCGUGAUAUGGAGCAAUUAGCCUUCAAUUUUAUGAUAAAUUUGGACCGGAUCUAACUUUUACUGCCGAUAUCCGAUAGAGACUCACGAUAACUUUUCGAAAAAGAAAUUUCGAGUCACACAACUUUCAAAAGUGUGACGAGGGCCGCAAGUCUGUCACGAAAUUCGAUAUAAAAAUUAUAUCAUUUAGAUGAUAAAUUUUACAUUUUAAUUAUUUUUUAGAUAUUUUAGAUAUUUUCAUAAUUUUAUAUAUUAAAACUUUAUUUUCUAUUAAAAUUCACUUUUUAAUUUUGGAAGAAAUUUCAAUAAGCUUUUAGUUUACUAAUCUAUUUUUUCUCUUAUUUUAUUUUAAUAAACGAUAUUGAUUAAAACUCUUGAUGGAGUCUAAACAGUUCUUUAUCAAAUCACAUAUAGAAAAAUAUUCAAUUAUUUUUAAUAAAAAAAUCUAUUAAAUUGAAUUAAUUUAAUAAUUUUAUUUUAUUUUUUAAUCUUUUUUAAUUCGAUUUGAUAAAAAAAAAUUGUCAUACCUAUCCAUAUCAAUAAUUUAAAAUAUAAAAAUGAGUUGACAAUUAAAAGGUAGGGUUCAUCAGAAAAUGCAGCAUUUCUACUUGUCUUGUAUAAGCAUGUUCAUUUAUUACACGUACGUGUCCAUGUCUAAAGUAAUGUUUCUAAAUCUCUCCUCUUUAAUUACUUCAAUGUUUAAUCUCCAGAUUCGGCAGCCUUAAUUUCUCUGUUUCUAUAUACUUAGUUAAAUUAAUCAUAAAUGCCUAUCGUGAUGACAUGUGGAAUCCAUACAGUAGCCAAUUUAUUAAAGCACCUCCGACUUCUUAUUUAAUUUCCUAAUAAUUCUUUUUCCCUUUUUCAUUUUCCUUUUAUUCACUUAAUUUUAGAGAUUCUAAAAUUUAAUCUUUUGUAUUUUGAGUAAUUGUAGAGAAUUAACUAAUCCCUUAUCUGUUUUGUUAUUUUUUAUAUAACAAAAAUCUUAUUUAUCAAUUGAUUUCUCCAUUUCAUAAUUGAAUUUCACCUAAUUCAUUUUGAAUUUUAAAUUAUUUUAAUCUCAUAUUUUUUAAGUUAAUUUUUAAAAUAGUAAUUAUUUCAAAUUUAAAAUUGAUUCAGGAUCAAUUAUCAAAUCAUUGUGCAAGAGAACUUUGAAUCAAAUUUCAAAUCAAUUUAUUAAUUUUGCAAAAAAAUCUUUAUUAAUUAUAUUCUGUUUAUAUAUUUCGUAGAAAAUUACUUUUGUUUAAAAAAUAUUUUUAAUAUUUCAUUUUUAUUUGCAACGUUUAAAAAUAAAUUAUGUCUUAAUAAGACUUACGCAUAUUAAUAAAAUUUUUAAGAAAUAGAAAAUGAUUUUUUUUUUAAAAAAAAUAAAGUUGUCAUGUAAAUAGCCACACGAUGAGAGCUGAUGAGAAGUUAAACUCUUGUCUUGUAGUUGCAAAGCAAGAAUCUAAAAUGAGUAAGCAGCAUAAGUUCAAAUGCAUUUCAAAAUCACAAGUCAAUGGCUUUAGUUUGUCAAUUAGGGUUUGUAGUCUUUGAAAUUUUCUUCUUCUAUUUUGACUUCUCACACCUAAAUAUGAUAUUUUUAAAGCUUAAUGUCUGUAUAUGCGUGGUCCUAUGACAUUAUCCUCCCAUAUUAUUAACAUGUGAAUAUGUAGGGUGAGCAUUCGGUCGGUUCGGUUUAAAAUCGAAUCAAAUUGAAUAAAUCGAAAAUUGAAAUUUUAGUAUUUAUAAAAAUCGAACCGAACUGAAUCGAUUUUUAUUAGAAACUGAAUCGAACCAAACUGGUCUGAUUCAGUUUAAUCAGUUUCGAUUUUUAAUAAUUUUUUUAUUUUUUAUAUUUUAAAGUUUAAUUAAAAUAUUUUAAUCUUAAUAUAAUUUAAUUUCUCUAUGUUAUUAAAAAUAAUAUAAUAUUAUCACUAAUCGAUUCGGUUCGGUUUUUUCGAUUUUUUAUGAUCAAAAUCGAACCGAACCGAAAUAAUUGAAAUUUUUAAAAUUAAAAACCGAACCGAAUUGAAUAAAAAAUCAAACCAAAUUUUAAAAUUAAUUCAAUUUGAUCGAUUUUUUCGGUUUGAACUGCUCAGUCCUAUGAAUAUGCAAACUCAAAAUAGUCAUUAUUAUAAAUUUCAUUUCAUUCAAUUAAAUUUCACCUCGAUGUAAAAUAGAGUAAUUAGGGCUGUGCAAUAGGUCGGUUCGAUUUUGAACCGAACUGAAUUGAAAAAAUCAAAAAUCGAAUUGUAAAAAUAUUAAAAACCAAAAAAAUCAAUUAUAAAAAUAUAAUCAAACCGAAUCGAACAGAUAAAAAUCAGUUCGGUUCAAUUCAGUUUGAUUCAAACUAAAAUCUGUAAUUUUUUUUGAAUUUUCUGGUUUUAAUUUCAGUAGAAUAAUUUAAUAAAUAUUUCACAUAAAUUUACCAAUAAAUAUUGUCUGAAUACAUAAUGAUAAUAUUUAAAAAAUCAUAAAAAUCUAUGUAAAAUUUAAAAAUACAUAUAAAAUUAAUAAAAGUAUAUAUAAAAUCGGUUUUUCGAUUAUUUAAUACGUUUAAAUCAAAUCGAACCGAAAACCGAAUAAGUUGGAAAAUACUAACUGAACCGAACCAAAUAUUUUGAUUAAUCGAACUAUUAAACCGAAAUUGAUCGGUUCGGCUUGGUUUUUUGGUUCAAACCGAUUUAUGCUCUCCCCUAAGAGUAAUACCCUUUAUAUUAGGGUAAAUAUUUAGUUGAUUUAAUUUAAAAUCAAAUCGAAUCAAAUAAAUUAAAAAUUAAAAUUUUAAUAUUUAUAAAAAUCAAACCGAAUUGAUUUUAAUCAAAAAAUCAAAUUGAAUCGGUCAGAUUCAAUUUGAUUUGAUCAGUUUGAACUUUUAAUAAAUUUUUUAUUUUUUACACUUUAUUUUUACUAUUUUAAAAUUUAAUUAAAAUAUUUUAAUUUUAAUAUGAUCUAAUUUCUAUAUUAUUAAAAAUAAUAUAUUAUUAUCAUUAAUCGAUUCAAUUUGAUUUUUUUAAUUUUUUAUCACCAAAAUCAAAAUGAAUUGAAAUAACUAAAAUUUUUAAAAUUAAAAAUUAAAUCAAAUCGAAAUGAAUAAAAAACUGAACUGAAUUUUUAAAUUAAUUUGAUUCAAUCGAUUUUUUCGGUUUGAACCGAAUACUGCUCACCUUUAUCUCGUACAAGAGUCUUAGUCACUCUUCUCUAUUGAGUUGCUUUUGGGAUAAACUAGAUCUCAUCCAAAUUUAAUAUGAUAUCAGAGUAUUCCACCGGUAUUUAAUUUUUCAUAACUAUGCCACGCUCCAGUAUAGUUCUACGCUCCAGUAUAGUUCUGAGUAUGAAGUGGUGUGUUAAAUUUACGUUUGACAUAUUAAAAAAUAAUUUAUUUUAAAUUUAAUAAAAUUAUUAUUUUAACUGCCCUCAAAUAAAUUGUGACUUGAGAUAAAUACAAUAAUUUUUAAACUAAGUGAAGUAUAUAAAAUAAUAAAAUUAUAUUACUGCCAUGAUAUUAAAAUUGAGAGGUUUUGGAUUUGAAAUUUUAAUUGAAAUAUAUAUAUUUGUGUAUAUGUAUGCGAUCAUGAUAUGCAGGCCAUUAGGCCACCAUUGACUAUAGGGUUGUAAAAUAUAUACUGUCGAUUCACAUAUUGCAUCUCAUGAUUAAUUUUAUGAUUAAAGACCUUGUGUUGAUUAAUAACUGUGUUUAUUAGAGGAUGCUUAAUAUUUUAUAUAGGGACGGACCUCAAAUUUAAAAAAUAAAACAUCUUUUAUUUUAAGUAAAUUUCACAUGUCCAAGCAUUCUUUUUUAAAAAUUAAAUUAAAAAUAUUUCCAUAUAAAUUAAAAUUUUAAGGGAGUUUCACGAGAGCCGGACAAAUAAACAAACAAGAUGAAAAAUCCUUAACCUAACCAAUUUUAAUUUAUCCCUUGGUGGUGAAGUUGAAUUAGGUAUAUCUUCCUACUGGUUUUGGAAUUGGUGGCUCUAGUUUAUCAAGGAUAUAUUUUCUGAAACUUUGUAGCACCUUCAAUUUCAAAAAUCUCAAAAACUCAAAUUUUAAUAGCAAAUUAUUAAUUAUUUUAAUUUAAAUAAUUAUAUAAUUAAAAAUUUAUUAUUUCAAAAAUAAAAAAUUAGUUGAUAUCAAAAUAUUAUAUAAAAUUUAUAUCCCUAAAAGUUUAAAAUAAAUAUAAACCUAUUAAUUAGUAAAAUUAACAAUUAAAAGUACAUGAAAGUCAGAGAUUUGCAAAACAAUAAAGUAAAUAUAUCAAGAAAAUAGUAGAUUUAAAUUCACCAAGUUAAAAUUUACUUGAGAGUUUAGAUCAUUAUACAAAACAAAUUUUACAUUUUUUUUUUUAACAAAGCAAAAUCAUUGCAAUUUGUCAUGAACCAGUAGAUAAAGUGCGCAAAUUACGACAAAAAAAAAGAAAAACCAGACUAUGACCUAGAAAUUAUAAGAAUCUAAAUUCAGAAACAAGCCCAAGUCCAUUGCCAAAAAAGUUGCAAAUCAUGACAACCGCAUAAAAGUAAAAAAAAAUCAAAUUGAUUACCGGAUAGUAUUUUAUCGGAUAAUAAAACAGUACAAAUCAGAAAAUAGGUCCGACCACCACUUCAAGAGACCAACUUUAAGUGUUGGGCAGCACUCCAACAAAUUAGGUCAGACGACUUUAUAGGUCAAACACUACUUCAAAAAUAUAAAAUUGAAUUGAUAUUUUAGAAAACUUAUUUUUAUUUAUAUGUCAGCUACAUAAAAAUAGCGUAAGAAUUUUUUCUCUUCUAAUUUAUAUAUUUUUUGUUCUAACAACAAUUGUAUAUUAUAACGCGUGUCUUUUUAAAAUAGUCGAUAGAACUAUAUAUAAACAUAUUCUUUCUAAAUAAAAAUUGAGUAAGUAUUGUUUCAAUCUCUGUAUUCCGAUUAAGUCUUUUUAUUAUAUGGUAUCAAAGCAUAUUUGUUCUAUAUUUCUUUUCUAAUUCUACUUUUUUUUCUUCGUUGGCAGAAGAAUUAUCCAGAGAGAUAAUUAUAUGAAAGUGAUUUUUUGAGUCUUCAAAAUUGAGAUAAAACCAAUGACAAAUAAGUAGACAAAUGAGUUGGGCGAAUGAAUGAGUUGGGCGAAUCUAAUCCAGCGGAAAGUGAUAAAAUAAAUGAAGAAGCCUGAAAGCCUGACUACUUGCUUGCUGUUUCUCUCCCUGGCUUUAUUAAUAAAUUUUAAAUUUGAAUGGCACAAUGAAUAAAAAGCAAAAAUAUAUUAUAAUAGUAGAAGAACGAAAAGAGCAAAAAUACAAAUUUUAAAAACUUUUGUAUAAUGUGUAAAUAUAAUGUCUGAAUAAUUAAUUUUAAUUAAACUUUUGUAUUCAUUUAAGAUAAAAUAAUUUUGGUGCUUCAAUUUAAAAUAAAUAAAUAAAUAUAUUAUAUUACAAAUUAUUAAGUGUCAACAAAAAAUUUAAGGAGCUAAUUAACAAAAAGUAUAAUUUAUUAUACAUAUUUAAUAUAUCUUUUAUAAAAUUAAGGAGUCAAUAAAAAAUUAUAAAAGAUCUUUUUUAUCACAAAAUUCCUUUAAAUUCAUAUAAAUCAUCUCAAAGAUUGUGGGUUGAGAAGACGUAGAGAUCAUCCCGGGCUGAUACUGAGGCCAAGCCCAUGGCUUCAAAUAAACCCUAGGGAAAGGGUAAUAUAGUAAAUCCACCUUGUUCCUAACCGUAUAAAUACUAGGGUUUUCUGUCUUCGAAUUUCUCUCAAAACCCUAGCUCUCUGUUUUCGUUUGCUUUGAGGCGCCUCUGCAGGUCCUUCUCUGCUUCUACUGUGGUAUGUAUCUCCCAUAUCUUGUGUUUGCUUUCUGCGAAAAAGAAAACAAGACUAAUGUAGCGCUCUUAAGGCUUUAGUAGAAAAUUUCUCUUGGAUUAUAAUAUGAUUGAUUCAUAAUAACUGAAUAGAUUUUUUUUCAUUUCUUUUCGUACUGUAGGCAUUGUGAUCUGUUAGAUAUUACAUGGAAAAACGGCAUUGACAAAUUUGUUUAUCUGUUGAUGUAACUUGGAAUGUUGGAACACACUGACCUAAGAGAACUUUCAAAAACAAUUCUGUAAAUUUGAUUUAAAGUGACAAAAUGAUUCCAAGUGAAACAUCCACUGCCACCGCACACACCUUAAUUAUAAGUUAUAGUAAUCAAAGUCCUGAAACAACCACUGAGGCUCUUAAAUUGUUCAAAUCAUUACAAGUCUGGUGAACCUUUUGCAUUAAACUGAUACCAAAUCCACUGGAAAGUUCCUCAUUUAUGUAAUCUCUAUUAGUGAAAGUUUCUCAUUCUUCUAAUCUUUUACUAGUGAAAAUUUCCUAUUCUUGCAAUCUGUACUUGACCAGUUANNNNNNNNNNNNNNNNNNNNNNNNNNNNNNNNNNNNNNNNNNNNNNNNNNNNNNNNNNNNNNNNNNNNNNNNNNNNNNNNNNNNNNNNNNNNNNNNNNNNNNNNNNNNNNNNNNNNNNNNNNNNNNNNNNNNNNNNNNNNNNNNNNNNNNNNNNNNNNNNNNNNNNNNNNNNNNNNNNNNNNNNNNNNNNNNNNNNNNNNNNNNNNNNNNNNNNNNNNNNNNNNNNNNNNNNNNNNNNNNNNNNNNNNNNNNNNNNNNNNNNNNNNNNNNNNNNNNNNNNNNNNNNNNNNNNNNNNNNNNNNNNNNNNNNNNNNNNNNNNNNNNNNNNNNNNNNNNNNNNNNNNNNNNNNNNNNNNNNNNNNNNNNNNNNNNNNNNNNNNNNNNNNNAUCAAUAUUUAUGGUCACUGAGCUCUAGAUUGCCUUAGUUUACUUCAAUUUUUUUUUGGGUUGGGGGAGGGGAUGUAUAAUUUCCCUCUCUUUAGAUAACUUUAUUUUUUGAAGAUAAUUAAACUAGAAAUAUUGGCUUACUUCUCAAAAUACCUGUUUCAGCGACAAUGGUGAGAGUUAGUGUUUUGAAUGAUGCUUUGAAGAGCAUGUACAAUGCUGAAAAGCGUGGUAAGCGCCAGGUCAUGAUAAGGCCGUCAUCAAAAGUGAUCAUCAAAUUUCUGUUGGUGAUGCAGAAGCACGGUAUUGUUUUGUUUGACCUGUGUUCUUUUUCAUUUUUUUCCCUUGAAAAUUCUUAAACUUACACUGAUUUUUUUAUCAUUUUCUCUAUGUUUCUGGUAUAUAGGAUACAUUGGUGAGUUUGAAUAUGUUGAUGACCACAGGGCUGGUAAAAUUGUGGUUGAAUUGAAUGGAAGGUUGAACAAGUGUGGAGUUAUAAGUCCUCGAUUUGAUAUUGGUGUCAAGGAGAUUGAAGGAUGGACUGCCAGAUUGCUCCCCUCUAGACAGGUGAACACAAAAACCUCUAAAUUGAGGAAUACUUGCAUGAAUACAUGAUAUAAGUUUCCUUUACCACGAAUAUCAAGCAAUGGUGAUGACACAAAUAUAAUCUCUAGAUCUAGUUAGUGUCCAGGGCAAGUACAACUCAUUUGCUUGCAUAAUGUUUACAUCAACUUCAAUCGUAUUAUGAUAUGUGCUUGAAUCUUUUUUGCACACUUGUUUGUAGGCAUUAUUUAUGUCAAGUACUUAAAUAGAUAUCUGUGGUUUCUGGUAUUGACAUAAUAAAUGAUUUUAAACUUGCAGUUUGGUUAUAUUGUGUUGACAACUUCUGCUGGCAUUAUGGACCAUGAAGAGGCUAGAAGAAAGAAUGUUGGUGGCAAAGUGCUUGGAUUCUUUUACUAGACUUAGAUUUUACUUCAUUUCCCCUUUUGAAUGACUAUUUUUGCUUACGAGGAGAUUUUGGUCGUACUUUUGAACUUCUUUACUAUAGGAUCAGAUUGUUGUUUUUUGCCCUCUGUUUGUGCCAUCUUCAAAAGGCUAGUGUUUGUGCCUGAUUGCGUGAAUUAAAGACUGAUGUUUUUUUUUGUAGCUCACAUUUUAUUUAAAAAUGGCAACAUUUAUUGAAGUGAUGUCUACUGGACUCGAUUUGAUAUUGCUGUUGACUCUUGCUCCAUUCUAUGAUGUUGCCUGGUUUAGUCCUUGAUCUGAAGCUUGGCAUUUGCCCUUUUCGGACUGGGUAAAUAAGGGGUUUGUUCGAAUUCCAAUCUCAUAUAGAAUGGCUGUCUUUCUCCAUUAACAAAUCUGUGCAUACGAAUAAAGCAAGUGCUUUCAGAGCAAUUCAUUUUUUGUUUGACUGCAAGUCAACUGGUACAAAUGCUACAGAUUUUAGUGCGAUUACUAAUUUGAAGUGAUGUGAAGCCGCUUUAACCAAGGGUUAAGAAUACUAAGCAACCUCGUUGUGUGCCUACGUAUGAGAACUUUUAAUUAGCGAGACUGAAAUUCUAUUUUAUUUUAUUUUUAGUUAUUUUAGCACACUAUUCUGUAGUGCUUUCUCAAAGGUUGCAAGAGAUUCCUGGGCUUUGCCAAGCCAACUUUCUUGUUAGAUUACAUCUUUAAAUUGCCUCUUGAUUGAAAUGACUAUAAGUGCUGAAAUCAUGCGAGCUUUCUUUUGGAAGCUGCAGCGGCCAGAUGUAGAGAGGGCAAUGGCCACUGUAUUGUAUCUGCAGAACAUUUUCUCCCAAUCCGAUUAAUAGUUUUAAUACAUGCGCGCAUUUCACAUCCUCAUAUAUUUAUAUAUAAAUUAUUAUUAUCAAAUAUAUUUGAACAAGUUUCGCUUUUUAUAUAAGGAAAAUGAAUUCUAUUUUAUUUCUUGGGAUAUUCAAAAUUAACUAGUUAUUCUUUGUGUUUUUAAAAUAUAUAAAUAAUUCUUAUAAUUUUGAAAAUUCAAUUAAAGGAUAUGUUACAUUAAGUUGAGUUUUCAAAAUUUUAUUUUUAAAAUAUAAGAAUUAAUCAUUUAGAUUCCCGAUAACACAUGAAUUAACCAGUAAUUUUUCGUCAUUGAAAGGGGAAUCAACAGAGGAAUUGCCUGCUGUCAAUGAGAUAAUGUGUCAAUCACCAAAAUAAAAUUUGUUCUCCAAGUGACCAUUUUCAUUCAAUGGUAUCCUAUUAGGUCUGCACUUUGUUAAGAGCACCAAUCAGAUCAGUAGAAACUUCAUCUUGUAUGGUCCAAAGUUGGGCAGUAAAUGAAUGACACAAGCCUUGCAUAUAUUGUACUGGUAGUUCAGAUUUGACAGAGAUAAAACCAUCCUCCAUUAUUUUAUCUUAUUAGUUUUAAGCAAGGAAUAAAAAUGAAAUAUCCCAGUUGAACAUGAGCUGUGAUUUCACUAGCCGGCUAGAUUUCUCUGAUUUUACAGAAGAAAUUUCUCUCAAGAAAUGAAGUUAAACAUGAGACAUUGAUUAAUGAACAAAACUAAGAUCCAUCAACAAUGAACAAGUUCAUCAUCAACAAACUAACAAGAAAAGAAAUCAAAGACAAUAUAUAAAAAUACAUAAAUAUUUUCCCCAUUAAAAAAGCAUGAUACACAUGAAAUAUGUGGAGCAAUAUUCAUACUGAUAACAUUGCCAAAGGAUCAUAGUUGCCCUAAUGGUAUAAAAACCAUCAUGACCUUAAUUCUACAUACAACUAACCCUUCUCUUCAUUUUCGAUAUCAUCCCCGCCUUUGCCGGUGGUCGGGGAAGAGCGUCCAGCCCAUCAGACCGAAUGGGAGGGAUAGAAAUAUAGCUGUAUUAUAGAGGGGAUGUAUAUAUCCCCAACUCUUCAUCCCUCCAAGGGCUUCAAGUGUGAGAAGUUGGUGUUUUAUGUGAGUUUUUGUAGUAGGAAUAAUGAUGUGGAUGAGAGUAUCUUCUAAGCAUAUGCUUUGAAGAAGCAUAACUUUUUUUUUGCAUUUGUUUUUUUUGUCCACUUUUUGCUUUUUCUUGUUAAUAAUUAUUUGAGGAAGACAUUAAAGGCAAUAUGUGAGGAAUCUACCAAAAAUAUUCUGGUUACAUAAGCUAGUGCUUUGCUUUCUCUGGUCAUUUCUGUGUUACUCAGCUUCAUCUGGC